CGUGGCUGACUGGUAAAGCGCUUGUCUUCCGAACUGGGGGUCACGGGUUCGAAUCCUGGCG
rfam:Biomphalaria glabrata isolate BB02 unplaced genomic scaffold LGTN_random_Scaffold672, whole genome shotgun sequence.